GCGAGUCAUUGUAGCAAUACAAGGCAGACGGCUCAGUAACGCGUAGUCAAUCUACCCUAUGGACGGGAAUAACCUCGGGAAACUGAGAAUAAUGCCCGACAGAACAUUAUACCUGGAACGGUUUAUGUUUCAAAUGAUUUAUCGCCGUAGGAUGGGACUGCGGCCUAUCAGUUUGUUGGUGAGGUAAUGGCCCACCAAGACUAUUACAGGUACGGGCUCUGAGAGGGGUAGCCCGGAGAUGGGUACUGAGACACGGACCCAGGCCCUAUGGGGCGCAGCAGGCGAGAAAACUUUGCAAUGUGCGAAAGCACGACAAGGUUAAUCCGAGUGGUUUCUGCUAAAGAAACCUUUUGCUAGUCCUAGAAACACUAGUGAAUAAGGGGUGGGCAAGUUCUGGUGUCAGCCGCCGCGGUAAAACCAGCACCUCAAGUGGUCAGGAUGAUUAUUGGGCCUAAAGCAUCCGUAGCUCGUUUUGUAAGUUUUCGGUUAAAUCCAUACGCUUAACGUAUGGGCUGCCGGGAAUACUGCAUAACUAGGAAGUGGGAGAGGUAGACGGUACUCGGUAGGAAGGGGUAAAAUCCUUUGAUCUAUUGAUGACCACCUGUGGCGAAGGCGGUCUACCAGAACACGUUCGACGGUGAGGGAUGAAAGCUGGGGGAGCAAACCGGAUUAGAUACCCGGGUAGUCCCAGCUGUAAACUAUGCAAACUCAGUGAUGCAUUGGCUUGUGGCCAAUGCAGUGCUGCAGGGAAGCCGUUAAGUUUGCCGCCUGGGAAGUACGUACGCAAGUAUGAAACUUAAAGGAAUUGGCGGGGGAGCGCCACAAGGGGUGAAGCCUGCGGU
rnacentral:rRNA from 1 species